rnacentral:rRNA from 1 species
GACGAACGCUGGCGGCGUGCUUAACACAUGCAAGUCGAACGGAAAGGCCCUGCUUUUGUGGGGUGCUCGAGUGGCGAACGGGUGAGUAACACGUGAGUAACCUGCCCUUGACUUUGGGAUAACUUCAGGAAACUGGGGCUAAUACCGGAUAGGAGCUCCUGCUGCAUGGUGGGGGUUGGAAAGUUUCGGCGGUUGGGGAUGGACUCGCGGCUUAUCAGCUUGUUGGUGGGGUAGUGGCUUACCAAGGCUUUGACGGGUAGCCGGCCUGAGAGGGUGACCGGCCACAUUGGGACUGAGAUACGGCCCAGACUCCUACGGGAGGCAGCAGUGGGGAAUAUUGCACAAUGGGCGGAAGCCUGAUGCAGCAACGCCGCGUGCGGGAUGACGGCCUUCGGGUUGUAAACCGCUUUCGCCUGUGACGAAGCGUGAGUGACGGUAAUGGGUAAAGAAGCACCGGCUAACUACGUGCCAGCAGCCGCGGUGAUACGUAGGGUGCGAGCGUUGUCCGGAUUUAUUGGGCGUAAAGGGCUCGUAGGUGGUUGAUCGCGUCGGAAGUGUAAUCUUGGGGCUUAACCCUGAGCGUGCUUUCGAUACGGGUUGACUUGAGGAAGGUAGGGGAGAAUGGAAUUCCUGGUGGAGCGGUGGAAUGCGCAGAUAUCAGGAGGAACACCAGUGGCGAAGGCGGUUCUCUGGGCCUUUCCUGACGCUGAGGAGCGAAAGCGUGGGGAGCGAACAGGCUUAGAUACCCUGGUAGUCCACGCUGUAAACGGUGGGUACUAGGUGUGGGGUCCAUUCCACGGGUUCCGUGCCGUAGCUAACGCUUUAAGUACCCCGCCUGGGGAGUACGGCCGCAAGGCUAAAACUCAAAGGAAUUGACGGGGCCCCGCACAAGCGGCGGAGCAUGCGGAUUAAUUCGAUGCAACGCGUAGAACCUUACCUGGGUUUGACAUGGAUCGGGAGUGCUCAGAGAUGGGUGUGCCUCUUUUGGGGUCGGUUCACAGGUGGUGCAUGGCUGUCGUCAGCUCGUGUCGUGAGAUGUUGGGUUAAGUCCCGCAACGAGCGCAACCCUUGUUCACUGUUGCCAGCACGUUAUGGUGGGGACUCAGUGGAGACCGCCGGGGUCAACUCGGAGGAAGGUGGGGAUGACGUCAAGUCAUCAUGCCCCUUAUGUCCAGGGCUUCACGCAUGCUACAAUGGCUGGUACAGAGAGUGGCGAGCCUGUGAGGGUGUGCGAAUCUCGGAAAGCCGGUCUCAGUUCGGAUUGGGGUCUGCAACUCGACCUCAUGAAGUCGGAGUCGCUAGUAAUCGCAGAUCAGCAACGCUGCGGUGAAUACGUUCCCGGGGCU